UUUGGACAUGUCUCCCUCCCUGGAGCAGGGAACCACUAAGUGUCCUGUCACUUGUCACCAAGCAGUCAGGCUCAUUUCAGCUCAUUGUGCCACCUGCAGUUUGUGCUAGUAGCAGGAUCCUCUGGGAGACAUCACACUCUCCCAACCUGAAAACAGGUGAACAGCUCACAGGUUUCCUGGAGAGGAUGGUCACAUGGCCUUGAUCUGGCCAAUCAGCAUUUUCCAUCCUCCCUGGCCACUGUGAUUGGCUCAGGGCUGGGCACCAGCCCAAUCAGGCUCCACGGAGGUCAGGCCUAGUUGCUGGAAUCCUGGGAGCAGAGAAGUUCUAUUUCAGUUGGGAGUUGAGGGGUGGUGAUGUCAGCCUGUGGCAGUUGGUGACUAUCUUGCUCUCGUAAAGGCAGAGCCAUGUGAAGAUGACACCAGUGGCAGAGCCCAGAGGUGGGGAAAGAUGACUUCUGCUGAUGUCACUGAGCACCAGGUACAGCCCUGCCUGAAGCUAUCUCCCUGUGGAUGUCUCAGUUAGGCUGUCUGCUGCAUGAGAAUGGAGACCUGCCUGCUUCACUCCCUGCUGUGCCCGGUAUAUGGAACCCGCCCAACACACAGUAGGACCUCAGCGAAUGUGUGACGUGUGUGUGAUCACUGUAGGCCACAGACAAAGGUCUUCCCAGCAGUGAUGAAACCCUGUGACAGAUCCUGUCCACAGCACCCUGCUCCUCCGAUCCUGACCCCAGGCUUUCCCAUGGGGUGUGACCCCGCAUGGGGUGCAGUCCCCUCCUCCAGUCUGACGUCAGUAAUCUUGGACCCGUUCUUGGAGCAGAGAAUUGAGUACCUUCCUAAAGUGCACGUUGACACUCCAUAUGUUUCUGCCAGUAUCAGCGAGGUUCAAUAUGUCUCAUGAAUGUUUUUUGAGCCUGGUAUUCUCAACAGAAGUCUCCAUGCCAGUAUUCUCCAUUGUAGCAGAACAACUCUCAUCAAUGUGUUCGCAUCUCACCUCAAUUUGUGCAGCCAGCUUUUCUGCCAACUUCCUUCAUGUCUCCUAUAAAGUCAAAUUCUAAAGGACAGGGCAAGUCUGAAAGUACCUCGGAGCCUCACCUGUAAGCUGAUGACAGGCAGAUCUUCCACUAUCUGCCCUUUCAGAUUCUGGAAACUGACCCGUGAACUCAGGCCAUUGCGCAGCACGAGUAUCUCGAACUUACACAGAUUCCAGAAAAAGAGACUUAAGCCAAGCUCCAUAGAGGGCGGUACCGCCUCCAUGACACUGAUCCACCCACAGAAUUCUGCCCAGUUACCUUGGAUCCACCAGCCACAACAAUCCUGGCAGAACACACCAAGAUUCCACCUGGAAUCCAACCGGUAACUGCCAUCCCCAAUGGUUGCUGCAUCUUGUCAGUGUUGGGGGAGGGGCUGCAUCAGACGAGAGGUUCCAAAGGUUUUCUGAGGCCUCAUCCUGUCUUUGGAAGUAACAGACCACACUUCGGAAAGUGUCCUGUGC